rnacentral:ncRNA from 2 species
CAGUUAAAAAGCUCGUAGUUGAAC